rnacentral:lncRNA from 1 species
UAACCUUCUCCUUCUUCUGGUUCUGGAAACCUAGCCGCCCGUCUCCUUCUUCUUCUCUAGACUCUAAGCCCGUCUCCUUCUUCUUCUCCAAUUCAACAUAACAUAUAAGCUCCGAAGCUCGUCUCCUUCUUCUUCUCCAAUUCAUUGGUGGUAGCUUCUGGAAUUAUAGCUGGUAAGGUUUUUUUUUUGUUUGAAAUUUUUGAUUCAUGAAUUCGAGCUUCUCGUCUCUCUUUCUCUCUCUCUUAUCAACUUCUGCAACAAUUCUGGUCCAGAUGAUAGGAUUUGUGCAAUUCAAAUGGGAAAUUUUCAUUGAUUUGAAUUGUUAACCUUUCGAUGUUAGAAAGACCAAUUGACUGAAAUUUAGUGAAAGAUUGGUAUAUAGUCACAAAAAAAUUUGAAAUUAUGGUUCAAAAGAUUGGUAUAUAGUUCACAAGGAAAACAAAGAUCUUCAUUCCCUUCAAUGGGGACAUUAACUAUGUAGGGAAAAGAGUAUCUGUCACACCAUUGGCAGUGAUUGAAACGGUACUAAGGAGGAUACUAUUCUCUGUCCAUGCCAUGCUUAAUAUAACCUCCAUUUGAUUUAAUCCUAAAGGCAAUAUAAAAUGCUUUCAUUUGGUAUUUUACUAAUGUGAAAAUUUAGGUGCUUCAGUUUUGGAAACCCAUAAUGUAUAAAACUGCAGCCUUUUUGUUGGUGUUAAAUUAUGUAUCUGUUUAUAUGUUUUUGGUUUUACUUGUGAUAUGGAAACACUGCAGAAAACAUCCUUUGCUUGUUGAUAUGUAUGCAACAUUUGAUCAUCCUAGCUCUCUAGUCCAUUUGACUGGCUAACUUAGCUUUUUAUUUUUCUCAGCCUUUUAGAAUUUAUUUAUGGCGUCUACAAGAAAAUCUAGAAGUGUGAGUUCUUAUCGGAUAAGGAUGUGAUCAGAAAGUUAUAUCUGAAGAUAGGUCGUAGGCUACUAGACUAAUAUAAAAGUGGUCCUUCCACCAUAAGACAUAAUAGAAUGCAGAAAUGGUUGGCAGACAGACAGUGGGAGUGAAAUUCCCAGUCACAUUCCAUUAAUAAUAAUUGGUGGUCUUAACUCUUGUGUUUAUGGUAUUCAUAUCUAUUUGUUACCUAGUAUCAUUCAUAUCUAUUUUUUCUUGCUUGAGGUAACAUCAAUACAUGUAAACAAAAAAUAAGAAUGCAUCACAGUCCAAUGCCUCUCAUGUAUAUAUGUUUAGUUAUCUUAGGAUUGUGUUUUUAUUCACCUCAAAAAAUCUGUUUCUAGUCUAUCAAAAUUUGGUUCUUGAGUGGUUACCUAUUUUUUAAGUUUGACGAUGUAAGUAUAUAGUAACAUCUUGAAUAGUUAUAAUUUUGUGUUAUUUUGUUUAACUUUAUGAAUUUUGUAUUACUUUUGUAAAUAUCAGUCUUAACGUGUGUGUUUGAAUUUGAUUUCAGGUUAUGUUGUUGGCUUGUUGGAAUGUUGGAUUAUUGUGUUGGCUUAUUGGUAAUUGGUAAUUGGUAAGAUCUUCAACUUAAGUUCGUUUUUUUCAUGUGAUCCAUGUGAAAUAAAAGGCUUACUAUCAUCUUAUUGCACGCAAAUGAUAUUAAGAAGAAGAUUGUGUAGACUAGCUAGUUGAUGCUCUUUUUCAUAUGUUGAUGCUUUUUUUCAGUUAUAUAUAUAAUAUGCUAUGUUAUCCAGGUGAUUAUGUUUUAUUCUUCGACAUUUACUGAUUGGAGAAUAGAGAAGGUCAUUAUGCUACAAAAAUAAUUUUUUUUUCUUUUUAUUUUGUUUGCAGUUAGGUGAUGCAGUACAUUUAGUUUGUGGCCUUUCAAUUCAUUUUGGUGAUGCUCGGCUUAUGUUGACAGUUUGGUAAUGCUCAGUUUAUGUUAAUUUAGGGUUUAGUGAUGCAAAACAUUCUGGUGUUGUAAUUUGUUGUUUUUCCUCCAGUCAUGUUGGUUAUGAACUUUGUAACGUCGUAAUGGUUUGCUUUUUAUGAGAUUGUAAUAUUUUAAUUGGUGUGACGAUCUAGCCAAACUAUUUGAUGUAUUUGACACUAUUUGAGGUGGUAUUUGGCCAUUGGGAGGCUAUUUUUUAUUUAUUUCCAAUAAUCUGUUUUAUACCAGAAAAAGGCUGCAAACGAGCUAAACGAGCUUGGAGGGUUCGAGCUUGAUUCGAGCUAAACGAGCUUGGAGGGCUCGAGCUCGGCUCGAGCUAAACGAGCCUAACGAGCUUGAGCUUGAUAAAUAGCUCGCGAGCCGAGCUUGAACAUAAAACCAGGCUCGAUUCAGAAAUUGGGCUCGG